rnacentral:lncRNA from 1 species
CAAAAUGGUGGAAGCAGAUGGGCCUGGAAAGCUUUUCAUUGGUGUCCUCCGUUUAGAAAGUAAUGAAAAGACACUUAAAGCAGUAUUUGGGAAAUAUGGUCCCAUACUGGAAGUUCUUACCAUAAAUGAUUGGGAAACCAGCAGUUUCAGAAGCUUUGCAUUUAUUCUGAGAAUGCUGCAGAUGUCUUUCUGUGGAAAAGCAAUAAAAGUAGGACAAGUCAACAAACCGUCUUUUCAAAGUGAUGUUAGGUGAAGACCACCACCUUCUUGGAGAAGCAGGAGCCUUCAGGAAGUCUGAGAUCUGCAAAAGGAGGUAGUGGAGGAACAAAAGGGUUGCAUCCCUCAUAUGAAGGACAUUUGGUUCCCACAUCAGGUUGAUGAGAGAAUUAUGGAGGUCUUCUAUGCAGAGAGCCAGUCUGUUCCCAGAGAAAUGACCAUGUGUCACCAAGAGAUGAUGGUUAUACAACUAAGGAUAG